CGCAUCUGUGCAUGCAGCAUAUCAAUAAGCGGAGAAAAGAAACUAACAAGGAUUCCCCUAGUAACGGCGAGUGAAGCGGGAAGAGCUCAAAUUUGAAAUCUUAAAGGGUUUCCCUUUACGAAUUGUAGUUUAAAGAAGUGUUUUCUGUUGAGGUUUUGGUAAAAGUUCCUUGGAAUAGGACAUCAUAGAGGGUGAGAAUCCCGUAUUUGACCUUUACUUUCAACUUUGUGAUACACUUUCAAAGAGUCGGAUUGUUUGGGAAUGCAGUCCAAAAUGGGUGGUAAAUUUCAUCUAAAGCUAAAUAUUGGCGAGAGACCGAUAGCGAACAAGUACCGUGAGGGAAAGAUGAAAAGAACUUCGAAAAGAGAGUUAAACAGUACGUGAAAUUGUCAAAAGGGAAGCGUUUGACACCAGUGUUGUUUUUCUGAAAAUCAAUUAAAGAACUGUUUAUGCUAAGCUUGUUUAGACUUUAUCAGCUAACUGUUUAGUUUUGAGCUUUUCUUUAAUGCACUUUUCAGUUAACAAGUCAACAUCAAUUUCUUUUGCUGUAAAAAAGCUUGAGGAAGGUGGCUUGAGAUUCGUCUUAAGUGUUUAUAGCCUCUUGCCUAUGCAGUCGGAGAGAUUGAGGUCUGCAGCGUAGAUCCUUCGGGGCUAAAUGCAUUUGUGCUAAGUUAUAACAUUUUAUAGACGACUUGUUGACUAUGAUUUGUCUUGUAGCUUACUCGCUUAUGUUAUUUUACCUACGCUUAGGAUGUUGAACGGCACAGAGUCUC
rnacentral:rRNA from 1 species